ACUUAGGUGUUCAGAGUCUUCAGGAAGAACCGGACAGUGGAGCAGGAGCUGUGGAGAAAGAGUGGAGACUUAAAUGCAGGAAAGAAGCCACAGGCUGGGGUCCAACCCAAGCAGACUGCUUGAGGUAAAACCUCUGUUUGGGGGCAUGGGAAUAUACUGCUAGACCAGUGGCACACUAGGGUUUGUGCUUAUUUAAAGAAAUGUCCUGCUAAAUGCUGCAAAGAGCUCUGCCCAUGGUAGAUUAAGGUAAUAUAAGAAUGAAUCUUCUUCUCUGAGACAGGACAGACUCUAAUACGAACUGGAUAAUGGGUCUUAGUGAUGCAAA